UCUCUGGAAAUUUAUACACACUAAAUUGAAAGAUUAAUUUUUAGUGAACUUAUGCUUCUUUUUGAAUAUAAUCUUUCAUCUCACAAUACAUCAUAAAUUUAGGAGGACACUAACCGUGUAACUAGAUAAUUGAAGAGAACAAAAGCGGAUGGCUGUGAUCAAGAGAGAGUGAAGAUGGUACAUAUCUCAAACUACUAUAGGACAGAGAUGCUGAUGAUGUGAAAGUUACUAAUUUGGAGGCCCACCUAAGGAGAGACACAAAAUUUUCUAGCAAGUGGUUAGCUGAUGAAAGAGGGACUGAUGAGAGGAAUGGAUCAAAAGAAACUUCCAGCGUUGAUUGAAGAACAGUGACAAUCCAAGGACUCGCGAGACUGAAAUCUUGUACAGUUUGCAGAUUUCCCUUUCACUAUCUAAUAUACAGACAUAAGUAUUUUUUCAAGCAACUACGUUCAUCAAGAUUGGCCACCAGUUGUUGCACAUCUUAUAGAGAUAGACUUUAGGCUACCACUCAACAACUGGAAUAGAGCACUACCACCCAUCAACAUCAACCGGCCAGCAAACAACUACAAUGGCUCACCACCACCGCAAAACACUGGAGCAAUACCACCAAGCAUGGUAGGAGGGCCUAACUACCAACAGCAGGGGCAGUGUGGACAAACAAUGGAGGCAAUAAUCCUAAAUGGAUCCGAUUUGAUACUUAUUUUGUCCUAAACGUUAUUCCAUCCAAUUCAAUACAGAUUGUGUAUGUACAUAGUA
rnacentral:lncRNA from 1 species